rnacentral:rRNA from 1 species
CUAACCACAUGCAAGUCGAGCGGAAACGAUGGAAGCUUGCUUCCAGGCGUCGAGCGGCGGACGGGUGAGUAAUGCAUAGGAAUCUGCCCGAUAGUGGGGGAUAACGUGGGGAAACUCACGCUAAUACCGCAUACGUCCUACGGGAGAAAGCAGGGGAUCUUCGGACCUUGCGCUAUCGGAUGAGCCUAUGUCGGAUUAGCUAGUUGGUGAGGUAACGGCUCACCAAGGCGACGAUCCGUAGCUGGUCUGAGAGGAUGAUCAGCCACACUGGGACUGAGACACGGCCCAGACUCCUACGGGAGGCAGCAGUGGGGAAUAUUGGACAAUGGGGGAAACCCUGAUCCAGCCAUGCCGCGUGUGUGAAGAAGGCCUUCGGGUUGUAAAGCACUUUCAGCGAGGAAGAAGGCCUGAGGGCUAAUACCCUUCAGGAAGGACAUCACUCGCAGAAGAAGCACCGGCUAACUCCGUGCCAGCAGCCGCGGUAAUACGGAGGGUGCGAGCGUUAAUCGGAAUUACUGGGCGUAAAGCGCGCGUAGGUGGCUUGAUAAGCCGGUUGUGAAAGCCCCGGGCUCAACCUGGGAACGGCAUCCGGAACUGUCAGGCUAGAGUGCAGGAGAGGAAGGUAGAAUUCCCGGUGUAGCGGUGAAAUGCGUAGAGAUCGGGAGGAAUACCAGUGGCGAAGGCGGCCUUCUGGACUGACACUGACACUGAGGUGCGAAAGCGUGGGUAGCAAACAGGAUUAGAUACCCUGGUAGUCCACGCCGUACACGAUGUCGACUAGCCGUUGGGUUCCUUGAGAACUUUGUGGCGCAGUUAACGCGAUAAGUCGACCGCCUGGGGAGUACGGCCGCAAGGUUAAAACUCAAAUGAAUUGACGGGGGCCCGCACAAGCGGUGGAGCAUGUGGUUUAAUUCGAUGCAACGCGAAGAACCUUACCUACCCUUGACAUCGUGCGAACUUGGUAGAGAUACCUUGGUGCCUUCGGGAACGCACAGACAGGUGCUGCAUGGCUGUCGUCAGCUCGUGUUGUGAAAUGUUGGGUUAAGUCCCGUAACGAGCGCAACCUUGUCCCUAUUUGCCAGCGAUUCGGUCGGGAACUCUAGGGAGACUGCCGGUGACAACCGGAGGAAGGUGGGGACGACGUCAGUCAUCUGGCCCUUACGGUAGGCUACCACGUGCUACAUGGUC